CACGUAGGAGGCAAGCGUUAUUCGGAUUUACUGGGCGUAAAGCGCGUGUAGGCGGUUCGGAGAGUUGGAUGUGAAAGCUCCUGGCUUAACUGGGAGAGGCCGUUCAAUACUUCCGGACUUGAGGAUGGUAGAGGAAGAUGGAAUUCCGAGUGUAGUGGUGAAAUGCGCAGAUAUUCGGAGGAACACCAGUGGCGAAAGCGAUCUUCUAGACCAUAACUGACGCUCAGACGCGAAAGCUAGGGUAGCAAACGGGAUUAGAGACCCCGGUAGUCCUAGCUGUAAACGAUGUAGACUAGGCGUUGGUGGGUUCAAAUCCAUCAGUGCCGGAGCAAACGCGAUAAGUCUACCGCCUGGGGACUACGGCCGCAAGGUUAAA
rnacentral:rRNA from 1 species